rnacentral:rRNA from 1 species
AGAGUUUGAUCCUGGCUCAGAACGAACGCUGGCGGCGCGUUUUAAGCAUGCAAGUCGAGGGGGAUUAUGUUGGGUAACCAAUAUAUGAGACCGGCGAACGGGUGAGUAACACGUAGGUGAUCUACCUUAAGGACUAGGAUAGCCUCUGGAAACAGAGAGUAAUACUGGAUAUGCAUUUUCGUUUACGAACGAAAAUGGAAAAGUGCUUUGGCACUGCCUUAUGAUGAGCCUGCGGCUGAUUAGCUUGUUGGUGUGGUAAAGGCAUACCAAGGCAGAGAUCAGUAGCCGGCCUGAGAGGGUGAACGGCCACACUGGGACUGAGAUACGGACCAGACUCCUACGGGAGGCAGCAGUGGGGAAUCUUGGACAAUGGGCGCAAGCCUGAUCCAGCCAUGCCGCGUGAGUGAAGAAGGCCUUCGGGUUGUAAAGCUCUUUCAGCGGAGACGAUGAUGACGGUAUCCGCAGAAGAAGCCCCGGCUAACUUCGUGCCAGCAGCCGCGGUAAUACGAAGGGGGCUAGCGUUGUUCGGAAUUACUGGGCGUAAAGGGCGCGUAGGUGGCGUUGCAAGCGGGUGGUGAAAUCCCUGGGCUCAACCCAGGAAUUGCCAUCCGAACUGUGGUGCUCGAGUUCGGAAGAGGGUAACGGAAUUCCCAGUGGAGAGGUGGAAUUCGUAGAGAUUGGGAAGAACACCAGAAGCGAAGGCGGUUAUCUGGUCCGAAACUGACACUGAUGCGCGAAAGCGUGGGUAGCAAACAGGAUUAGAUACCCUGGUAGUCCACGCUGUAAACGAUGUGUGCCAGCCUUGGGGAGAUGUAAUCUUUCUGGGGCGCAGCUAACGCGUUAAGCACACCGCCUGGGGAGUACGGUCGCAAGGCUAAAACUCAAAGGAAUUGACGGGGGCCCGCACAAGCGGUGGAGCAUGUGGUUUAAUUCGAUGCUACGCGAAGAACCUUACCAGCUUUUGAAGUACCAGGUUUUGGGGUGAGAGAUUGCUCCUUCAGCUAGGCUGGGCCUGGAACAGGUGCUGCAUGGCUGUCGUCAGCUCGUGUCGUGAGAUGUUGGGUUAAGUCCCGCAACGAGCGCAACCCUUGUCCUUAGUUGCCAUCAUUGAGUUGGGCACUCUAGGGAGACUGUCGGCGUCAAGCCGGAGGAAGGCGGGGAUGACGUCAAGUCCUCAUGGCCUUUAUGGGCUGGGCUACACACGUGCUACAAUGGUGGUGACAGAGGGUUGCAAAGGGGUGACCUGGAGCGAAUCCUAAAAAGCCAUCUUAGUUCGGAUUGCACUCUGCAACUCGGGUGCAUGAAGUUGGAAUCGCUAGUAAUCGCGGAUCAGCAUGCCGCGGUGAAUACGUUCUCGGGCCUUGUACACACCGCCCGUCACACCAUGGGAGUUGGUUUUACCUGAAGGCGGCGAGCCAACCUUUUAGGAGGCAGCCGACCACGGUAGGGUUAGCGACUGGGGUGAAGUCGUAACAAGGUAGCCGUAGGGGGG